ACUUGUUCUUUAAAUGGGGACUAGUAUGAAUGGCAUCACGAGGGUUACACUGUCUCCUUUUUCUAAUCAGUGAAACUAAUCUCCCCGUGAAGAAGCGGGGAUAAUUAUAUAAGACGAGAAGACCCUAUGGAGCUUUAAAUUUUAUUACAACUGCUUAGCUCAUUUCCCAGGCUUGACCGCCCAUUAAGCCCAGCAUUAUGAUAGUAAAUUUUAGGUUGGGGUGACCGCGGAGUACAAAAAAACCUCCGCAUUGAACUAAGCCUUUAAAGCUUUUAACAAAGAACUACGAAUCCAUGUAAUAGUAUACUAACACCCAUUGACCCAAUAUAUUGAUCAACGAACCAAGUUACCCUAGGGAUAACAGCGCAAUCCACUUAAAGAGCCCCUAUCGACAAGUGGGUUUACG
rnacentral:rRNA from 1 species